rnacentral:rRNA from 1 species
AACGAACGCUGGCGGCAGGCCUAACACAUGCAAGUCGAACGCUCCAGCAAUGGAGAGUGGCAGACGGGUGAGUAACACGUGGGAACCUUCCCUAUGGUUCGGAAUAGCUCAGGGAAACUUGGGGUAAUACCGGAUAAGCCCUUCGGGGGAAAGGAUUUAUCGCCAUUGGAUGGGCCCGCGUCGGAUUAGCUAGUUGGUGAGGUAACGGCUCACCAAGGCAACGAUCCGUAGCUGGUCUGAGAGGAUGAUCAGCCACACUGGGACUGAGACACGGCCCAGACUCCUACGGGAGGCAGCAGUGGGGAAUAUUGGACAGUGGGCGCAAGCCUGAUCCAGCCAUGCCGCGUGAGUGACGAAGGUCUUCGGAUUGUAAAACUCUUUUGGCGGGACGAUAAUGACGGUACCCGCAAGAAUAACGCCCCGGCUAACUUCGUGCCAGCAGCCGCCGU